rnacentral:rRNA from 1 species
UACGUAGGUGGCAAGCGUUGUCCGGAUUUACUGGGCGUAAAGAGCGCGCAGGCGGUCGUCCAAGUCGCGUGUGAAAGCCCCCGGCUCAACUGGGGAGGGUCACGCGAUACUGAUCGACUCGAAGGCAGGAGAGGGAAGUGGAAUUCCCGGUGUAGUGGUGAAAUGCGUAGAUAUCGGGAGGAACACCAGUGGCGAAGGCGACUACCUGGCCUGUUCUUGACGCUGAGGCGCGAAAGCGUGGGGAGCGAACAGG